AAACUCAAAAAUUAAGUUAACCGUCCCUGGGUGAAGACUGGCCGCCGCCCCGCCAUGUCUGAACAACAACAUUCGUCCAGGGUUGAAGCGAUCAGGCAGUUUUCAGCUGUAAUUGUGUACUACUCCAUCUCCCUGCCUCCCUGCCCUGCCCCACCCAGACACCAUGGCCCAGCAGCGACACCAUUCCACCUGCUACACGACGCUGGCUGACGCACUCCUGACAUGGCAAUGACAGGAGGCGGAAAACAGGAGCAAGUGUCAGAUGGUGAAGGAAGUAUGCAGGUUUGCAGUAAACCUCCCUGAAGGUUCCAGAGGUGGUCAGCAAAUGUCCAGUCCAGGCUGUCACAAGACUGUGUGAUGGAGGACUUUCCACUGAUACUCAUUGAUAACAGCUGUGCACUGCCACUCACAGGAAAUAUUGAGUUGCUUUGAAGCUGAGAUGAGUGAGUUGGUCAGCUAGUGAGUGGCUGUGUAACCAUUAAUAAGUAAGUUCUUUCUUUAUAACUCUUCAUACAUGGAUUGUCAUACAUGGAUGGAUAAGUCCCUUGUACAGAGUCACCAGCUGGUGGGGGGAGGGGUGACAAAAACUGGCGGAGAUGUCUCAGAAUGUCUAACUUCACAGAAGCUGCUUUAGCUAGAGAUGAGAUAUGAAGUUUCCAGUUUAGAUUAUAAGUAAAGGACAGAUCGAGGAUGUUCAGUGUAGAAGAGGGGGACAGUUGUGUCACUGAAGAAGAGGGGAUAGUUGUCUGGAAGGUUGUGUUGAGUUGAUAGGUGGAGGAAUUGAGUUUUUGAGACACUGAACAAUACCAAGUUUGCUCUGCCCCAAUCAGAAAUUUUAGAGAGAUGAGAAGUGAGGCAUUCUGUGGCUUCCCUGCGUGAACUGUUUACUUCCUGAAGGGUUGGAUGUCUGAAAAGACGUGGAAAAAUGCAGGGUGAUGUCAUCAGCGUAGGAGUGGAUAGGACAAGAAGUUUGGGUUAGAAGAUCAUUAAUAAAUAAUAAGAAGAGAGUGGGUGACUGGACAGAACCCUGAGGAACACCACUGUUUAUAGAUUUAGGAGAAGAACAGUGACUGUCUACUACAGCAGCAAUAGAACGGUCAGAAAGGAAACUUGAGAUGAAGUUACAGAGAGAAGGAUAGAAGCCGUAGGAGGGUAGUUUGGAAAUGAAAGCUUUGUGCCAGACUCAAUCAAAAGCUUUUGAUAUGUCCAAGGCAACAGCAAGUUUCACCAAAAUCUCUAAAAGAAGAUGACGAAGAUUUGGUAAGGAAAGUCAGAAGAUCACCAGUAGAGUGGCCUUGACGGAACCCAUACUGGCGAUCAGAUAGAAGGUUGUGAAGUGAUAGAUGUUUAAGAAUCUUCCUGUUGAGGAUAGAUUCAAAAAUUUUAGAUAGGCAGGAAAUUAAAGCAAUAGGACUGAUGUUUGAGGGAUUAAAACUACUGCUACUACUACUACUACAUCAACUCACAUCUUGCCUGACUCCCAGACCAACAUUUACUGUGUAGAAAUGGCACAGUCUGCUCCUUUAAUCCUUUUCCUAUCUUGAAUGUGCAUAUCAGUGUACCCUGUUGUACCUCCCAUGCUGUGUAAUGCUUCAGUGUUGAUUGUGUGUGUUUCCCUCAGGUGGCACUGUGGAUAGCAAGCGGAAGAGACCUUGGGAGACUUCCAUUAACGAGGAGCAACAAGCACACCUCACUGGAGUCUUUCAGGAACCAACAGUCAGCUGUGCCUUGUGUCAGUGCAUCUGUGGCCACCUGUGUCAUGGCUGUCGUUGAUCUUGCUGUCUCCCGUCCAGUCUCACAACUACAAAGCCCUCUCAAACAAGGCCUAUCACAGCACUCUUCCCUUUGUUAAGCUUGGCAGCACCAGUUAUAAUGGCCUGAUGUGAAGGUGUCUGCAGCCAGUGGUGGGUGUCCUCUCUGCCUGGUGGUGCCUCAUUGCAGGGCCUGAUGUGAAGGUGUCUGCAGCCAGUGGUGGGUGUCCUCUGUGCCUGCCUGGUGGUGCAGCCUGGUGUGUUGCCUGCUUCAGUGUAAAUCUUGCAAGCUAGAUCUGCCAGCUGUCUCCAGUGUAGUAUAGUGUAGGGUGCUUUGCUUUGUGUCUUUGGGAAUAAAUAAAUUUGUGACUAUCAUUCUCAUGUGAAUUAUAUAGUUUGAUAAAAUUACAGAAUGUGGUUGUUUAAACUAUAUAUUUGGUGGUAAACAAUUCAUGCCCCCCCAAAUAAAUAAAUAAAUAAAAUAAAUAAAUAGGACCCAAAAUACUGAUACAACACUGAUACAAUUGAUCCCCUCUGGUCAAAAAAAAAAAAAGCCAGGAUUGGCCUAUAUCCUGGCCUAUCUUGGCUAAGUUUAAGGUGAAACUUGCACACACAAGCCCUGUCCGAGCGACUCCGGAGUCGCUCAGACAGGGCUUCUGUGUGCGAGUUUCACCUUAAACUUAGCCGCCAAUCCUGUUUUUUUUUUUUUUUUUUUUUUUUUUUUGACCAGAGGGGAUCAUCAAUUGUUUACUAGUAUUUUUUGCAUCUAUUUAUUUAUUUAUUUAAUUAAUGAAUGAAUGAAUUUAUUUUAUUUUAUUUUUUUUUUUUUUAUCAGGGCUAUGAAUUUGUUACACCAGAAAGCUUAUUUGCAAUUUGUAAGACUUAUAAUUCCACAAGUAUGAACAAGAUAAUAUAUAUUGUUUAAAUCACAUUGUUAAAGUUUCUGAGGAGGCAUAUGAAUUGUUACACCAGAAAGCUGGUUUAUUUGCAACUUAUACUAAUAAUUCCUUAAGUAUGUAUUAUUAGUAUAAGAUAAUGUUUAAUCAUUAUUGUUUAAUCACAUAAAAGUUUAAUAAAUAUACACAAUUA